AUUAAACGCUGGCGGCAUGCCUUACACAUGCAAGUCGAACGGCAGCACGGGGCAACCUGGUGGCGAGUGGCGAACGGGUGAGUAAAGCAUCGGAACGUGCCCUGGAGUGGGGGAUAACGUAGCGAAAGUUACGCUAAUACCGCAUAUUCUGUGAGCAGGAAAGCAGGGGAUCGCAAGACCUUGCGCUCUGGGAGCGGCCGAUGUCGGAUUAGCUAGUUGGUGGGGUAAAGGCCUACCAAGGCGACGAUCCGUAGCGGGUCUGAGAGGAUGAUCCGCCACACUGGGACUGAGACACGGCCCAGACUCCUACGGGAGGCAGCAGUGGGGAAUUUUGGACAAUGGGCGGAAGCCUGAUCCAGCCAUGCCGCGUGAGUGAAGAAGG
rnacentral:rRNA from 1 species